GACGGAGGGGGCUAGCGUUGUUCGGAAUUACUGGGCGUAAAGCGCACGUAGGUGGCUUUGUAAGUUAGAGGUGAAAGCCCAGGGCUUAACCCUGGAAUUGCCUUUAAGACUGCAUCGCUAGAAUCGUGGAGAGGUGAGUGGAAUUCCGAGUGUAGAGGUGAAAUUCGUAGAUAUUCGGAAGAACACCAGUGGCGAAGGCGGCUCACUGGCUCGGUACUGACGCUGAGGUGCGAAAGCGUGGGGAGCAAACAGG
rnacentral:rRNA from 1 species